AUGCUUGCCUCAGCAGGACAUAAACUAAAACUGGAGCAGUACAGAGAAGAGUAGCAUGAUUCUUGCACAAGGAUGACACAUAUACAUCUAUGAAGCAUUCCAUAUUUUU
ensembl:snRNA U6 U6 spliceosomal RNA